rnacentral:rRNA from 1 species
GACUCACGCGGGAAUCUUACCGGGUCCGGACACACUGAGGAUUGACAGGUUCCGAGAGUUUUUGCUUCGGCAAUGCUCUCUUAAAUAUGAUAGUCCUUUCAUGAUUAUGUGAUAGGUGGUGCAUGGCCGUUCUUAGUUCGUGGAGUGAUCUGUCUGCUUAAUUGCGUUUCACUAAAGGCGUCAUAUCUGUUUUGUUGCGUGUUUGACCCCUCUUCGGAGCGCGUGUCUUCACGCACAAUUACUUUGGCGUCUGAAAGCAACGAACGUGACCGUAACCUCUUGUUGCCUUCUCUUCUCCUCGGAGAAUGCUGUUUGUUUUUGCAGGCAGUAUAUGGAGGCUUUUUUACUCAACAACUAGAGGGACCGCUGUUUCUUUCUUUAAACCAGAGGAAGGAUACGGCAAUAACAGGUCUGUGAUGCCCUUAGAUGUUCCGGGCUGCACACGUGAUACAUUGAUUACUUCAGUGAGUAUCUACGUUUUACUGCGUGGCAUUGCAAUGCAUAUUUCUUCGGAAGUGUGUUUUUGUUUGCCGCCU